GUGACCAGGGUCCGGGUACAGAAACGCGUGUCUCCCUGAUCCUCCGUAUGGAAAACAUGUCGAGGGCUUCGGGUCGGGUGGUUUGACGAGCAAUGAGAUCGCGCUGGUGGGGAGGCACCUCACGGUAAUGGCGGGCGCGGCAGAGCGGCGCUGGAUGCCGAUGGUGAGUUCCUAUUGGAUCCAGUUGACCGGUUCCCACUCAGGGAAGAGUUGGCCGACAGCUUGGAGCAGCCAAAUCCGGACACUCUAGGGUUCCUCCGACCAUCCAUGGCCAUUGGGCUGCAUCGCCGCCGAUGCCGUUGCCACCGCCCCGUCGCCGUCGACCCCGACACCACCGCUGCUCUCUACAUCUCAGUCUCGCCGGGGCCCCUCUCUGCCUUGGUCCCCUCUACUGGACAGCUGCUCGGCGGUGUCGUCUUUCUCCUGUACUGGUUGGCGGCAUCUCGUUCUCCGGCACCAACAAGUCCAUGGCCCCAUGGUUCUGCACGAAAUCUCUAGUCCGGCAGCCUCCAUCAGACACCACGGGCUUCUUUACUUCAAGGCAUGUGCUACACUUCAGCUGACUGAUUUGGAGGUAUUGUGGUAUGUGAACUGGACAUCAGAAGUUGCGAAGCCCCAUCGAUGCUGCUUUGGAGCAUCUCCACCACUCCUGCAAUGCCGGUGAUUUGCAACAUGGUGGAUGUUGUAGUGACAGAUGCAGCAGAGAUGUCGUGGUGCCCCUCCACUUUUCAGCAUGUCGUAUGUUGCGCCGGUUGUGUGGUGGUGGUGGUCGGCGCCGGCCCUCCAGGCUGCAGCACUCACCGCAGGAAUGGCUUGCAGCGGUCGUUGCCAUGGCACUGCUUUGCAGAAUCAGUGGGGGUCGAGCAGGCUGGCAGAAUCGCGGUGGGCGAUGUCUCUGUAAGAGGAUGAGAUGGAGAGUGAACUGGCCCACUGGGCACGUGCCAAUUGCACGAGGCACUUGUUUCUACAUUAAAAAUUAUAAUGCGAUUUAUGUAAGUGCUAUAUGUGAACUGGUAAGAGCAAUGGUUGAAUUGUUGGUCAGUGGAAGAGUAAUUGGUGAACCGUAAA